AUUGACCGCUGGCGGCAGGCCUAACACAUGCAAGUCGAACGAGUGGCGGACGGGUGAGUACUGUCUGGGAAACUGCCUGAUGGAGGGGGAUAACUCCUGGAAACGGUCGCUAAUACCGCCCAUCAGAUGUUCCCAGAUGGGAUUAGCUUGUUGGUGGGGUAACGGCUCACCAAGGCGAAGAUCCCUGGCGGGUCUGAGAGGAUGAACAGCCACACUGGAACUGAGACACGGUCCAGACUCAUACGGGAGGCAGCAGUGGGGAAUAUUGAACAAUGGGCGCAAGCCUGAUGCAGCCAUGCGGAGUGUAGGAAGAAGGCCUUCGGGUUGUAAAGUAAUUUCAGCGGGGAGGCGUUACCCGCAGAAGAAGCACCGGCUAACUCCGUGCCAGCAGCCGCGGUAAUUC
rnacentral:rRNA from 1 species